rnacentral:rRNA from 1 species
GGGCUCACACAAGCGGUGGAGCAUGUGGAUUAAUUCGAAGCAACGCGCAGAACCUUACCUGGGUUUGACAUGUACGGAUGCUACCCUGGAAACAGGACUAGCUAUCGCAAGAUGAAACGUAUACAGGUGCUGCAUGGCUGUCGUCAGCUCGUGUCGUGAGAUGUCGGGUUAAGUCCUUUAACGAGCGAAACCCCUGCCGUUAGUUACCAGCGAGUCAUGUCGGGAACUCUAACGGGACUGCCGGUGUUAAACCGGAGGAAGGUGGGGAUGACGUCAAGUCCUCAUGGCCUUUAUACCCAGGGCCUCACACGUGCUACAAUGGCGGCUACAAAGCGAUGCAAGACCGUAAGGUGGAGCCAAUCGCAAAAAAGUCGCCCCAGUUCAGAUUGCAGGCUGACAAUUCGCCUGCAUGAAGUCGGAAUCGCUAGUAAUCGCGUAUCAGCCAUGACGCGGUGAAUGUGUUCCUGAGCCUU